GGCUGUGUAGCUCAGUGGUAGAGCAAACGUUUCAUAAGCGUUAGGUCAGAGGUUCAAUCCCUCUCACAGCCA
rnacentral:tRNA from 4 species